UGGGGAAUAUUGCACAAUGGGCGCAAGCCUGAUGCAGCCAUGCCGCGUGUAUGAAGAAGGCCUUCGGGUUGUAAAGUACUUUCAGUCGGGAGGAAGGUGGUAAGGUUAAUAACCUUAUCAAUUGACGUUACCGACAGAAGAAGCACCGGCUAACUCCGUGCCAGCAGCCGCGGUAAUACGGAGGGUGCAAGCGUUAAUCGGAAUUACUGGGCGUAAAGCGCACGCAGGCGGUUGAUUGAGUCAGAUGUGAAAUCCCCGGGCUUAACCCGGGAAUUGCAUCUGAUACUGGUCAGCUAGAGUCUUGUAGAGGGGGGUAGAAUUCCAUGUGUAGCGGUGAAAUGCGUAGAGAUGUGGAGGAAUAUCGGUGGCGAAGGCGGCCCCCUGGACAAAGACUGACGCUCAGGUGCGAAAGCGUGGGGAGCAAACAGG
rnacentral:rRNA from 1 species